rnacentral:tmRNA from 1 species
GGGGACGACUUGGCUUCGACAGGAGCAGGUCGCUUUCGGUUGCAUGUCGGGCUGAGCACCCCGUUAUACGGCUCAAACUUGCUUAACCGCAAACAAUUCUAACUACCGUCCUGCUUACGCUGUAGCGUAAGUUUAACUAAAACUUAGGACUGCUUCACCUCUUGACGUCAAAUAGAGAGGGUUCGAAGUAUCACAACUCUUUGGCUAUACCGUGUGGGUGUCUCCCUGCGCGAAGAAUCCUAGAGACUCGUACGCUGUAGCUUUGCACGUGGUGCGAAAGCGUAUUAAACUCCAAUCAACGUUUCUAAACAUGUAGACGCCGAUGGUAGCUUGUUUUUGGACUGGGGUUCGAUUCCCCACGUCUCCACCA